GACGAACGCUGGCGGCGUGCCUAAUACAUGCAAGUAGAACGCACAGUUUAUACCGUAGCUUGCUACACCAUAGACUGUGAGUUGCGAACGGGUGAGUAACGCGUAGGUAACCUGCCUGGUAGCGGGGGAUAACUAUUGGAAACGAUAGCUAAUACCGCAUAAUAUUGAUUAUUGCAUGAUAAUUAAUUGAAAGGUGCAAUUGCACCACUACCAGAUGGACCUGCGUUGUAUUAGCUAGUAGGUGAGGUAACGGCUCACCUAGGCGACGAUACAUAGCCGACCGGAGAGGGUGAUCGGCCACACUGGGACUGAGACACGGCCCAGACUCCUACGGGAGGCAGCAGUAGGGAAUCUUCGGCAAUGGACGAAAGUCUGACCGAGCAACGCCGCGUGAGUGAAGAAGGUUUUCGGAUCGUAAAGCUCGGUUGUAAGAGAAGAACGGGUGUGAGAGUGGAAAGUUCACACUGUGACGGUAUCUUACCAGAAAGGGACGGCUAACUACGUG
rnacentral:rRNA from 1 species